GCUACCACCCACAAGGAAAUGGACAGGUAGAACGCUUCAACAGGACACUACUGUCUAUGUUGCGUUACAGAAAAGGCAGAUUGGAAAAAGUCACUUGAGAAAAUGAUUUACGCAUAUAAUUGUACCCGCAGUGAGGUAACAGGUUUCUCUCCUUUUUUCUUGUUUUUUGGCCGUUCUCCUCGACUGCCGAUUGAUCUGCUUUUCAACCUGCAGCCAACCAAAGGGAAAGAAAGUUAUGCUGAGUAUGUGGAGCACUGGAAAACUAGAAUGCGUCAAGCUUAUGAAACUGCCUCCAAAACAGCCAACAAAGAAGCCUCUAGGAAUAAGAAGGGAUCCAUGGAGCAGAUAUGCACCCGGGUGGACGAGUGCUUGUACGAAACCUUUCAGAAAGGGGAGGACCCGGUAAACUCCAAUCCUACUGGGAGAAUAGAGUUUAUGUGGUUGUCAGAAGAAAGAGCAAUGAGAGCCCUGUUUUUGAAGUGAGGCCUGAGGGAGGGGGGGAAAUGCGAAUACUACAUCGAAAUCUCCUCUUCCCUUGUGAUAGCUUGCCAUUGGAGAGCUCUGAGACAAACCUGAAACAAAAGACAGUUAGAGAAACAAAACCAAGAAAAGACAGAGAAACUGUGAAAGGGAUACAAAGUGAAAUGUCUGGUAGUGAGGAUUUCCAAGAUGGGGAUUUGGUGUUCCAGUUUCCUACUUGCACUGAUCAAUUCGGAAUGCCUGCUGAUCUCAACCCGGAAGCAAAGCCCUUUACACUGGUAGAGGAGCGAAAAGGGCAAAGAAAUAGGCAAGAAAUUGAGGAGACAGCUAAGGCUUUACCAGAGGAGGAAAGGGUGGUGGAUCCUGUAAUACCUGAGUACCAGUCAGAGUUUUCAGUUGAUCACGAAUCAGAAAAUGAUGAAAUGGACACACUAUACCUGAAUACUUAUCCAAGGAGAGAGCGGCACCAUCCAAAAAUCCUGACGUAUGGAUCUUUGGGUCAGCCAUCUGUGGUGGAACUUGGGGUGGAUAAACUGAAUGUGAAUAAUACUCCUGUAGCCUAGCGACUGUGGCGGCCAUGGACAAUGCUGUAGGUAAUCCAUUGUAAUUCCAUUCAUUAAAGAUCCUCGACAAGAACUUAAGUGAAAACGGGUAUGACAUUUAGUACAUGUAGCUUUGUCUAUGAAAGAAGUGAAAACAGAAUUGUUUGUAUUGAUUAUGUAAUGUGGAUAACCGAGAUGGUAGUAGACGAGAGAAUUGUUGGCCGAAAUUGAGUCUAUUACAAAAGAGUGUUACCAGUGUGACAAAUGUUUACUGAAGAAGUGUCAAGAUUUGUGUGACCAGGUACAAUGCAAACUAGGAUUUCCAUAACCUAUUGUAGAGAGUGAACUUUGAUAACUGAGAAAUUUUGAGUUAUUGAUUUCUUUCACAUAAAGGGUUGAGUAAUUAUACAGCAAUGUUAACAUCAAAAUGGUUGUAAACAUUUUAAUUUAGUAGGGGAGAGUGUAGCGCAAUGAUUAUUUAUGUAUUGCAUUUCUGUUAUGUGCUUUGGGUAAGGUGAAAACGUAUGGGUGAUGCAGCGGGAGCUUUAAAAAGAAUGUAGUCUCAAGAUACACCAGUAGAUGGCGGUAGAGUGGCGCGGGAUUGGAAAACGGAACUCGCGUGAAUUUCUGUGUAAAUAAGAGUUCCGUGAUAGCGAGUGCCGCUAUUGAAACUGUUAUUAUUAUUUUUCAGGUAAGCUGGUGUAUAUUGUAGGAUACGAAUGCACUAAUGUUCACGGGAACUGUGUGAUUCUUUGUAGAUUUAUAUUGGAAAACGGAACUCACGUGGAUUUCUGUGUGAAUAAGAGUUCCGUGAUAGCGAGUGCCGCUAUUGAAACUGUUAUUAUUUUUCAGAAUAAAUUCUUCGUACAUGUGUGACCUUCCCGAAAAAUCAUUCUUUCACGUCUGAGAAGUGUUACACAAUUCCAGCAGAUGUAGAGGGAUCCCUCUCUGUGCCCAGCACCCCAAGACUGAUUGCACUUGGAGAUUCUGUUUUCGUGCCAAAAAAUGGAUGCUGACAAUGGAGGGCAGAGUCAUCAUAGAGCCACAAGAGCUAACAGAUUUUCAAUGUGCGAUACCAGGAAGCGGCCACCAAUACACUGGACUUCAUUCAGAGGUUCAUUCUGAGAACACACCCUGAUAGCACCAAAUGCCAAUCAAAAUCACAUAUCAGCCAGACACAGAAGAAAAAUCACCAACCUGAAUCCUUGUGGCAUCUUUUAUCAACGAGCUUGUAGAGUAAUGAAAUAAAUCACUACUGACGAUAACACUACAAACAAAACAAACAUGUUUUUUUUGCUGUUUGAUUUGAGUUCUGUGACCUAUGCUGUCCAAACUGCAUACUGCGACAGUAUGUACUGAUUUAAAUUAAGUACCUACCUAUCUACCAGUAAAACAGUAUGUUCUAUAUAGUUUUUGUGGGAGAAGUAUUAUUACAUUUCGGACAUACUGCAUCAGGCAUGUUUAUUGUCAUAUGACCCGUAUGAUCUUUGACCUAUGACAUUUUAACAACAACCUGUAGAUAGGCAUUGGUAAAAACAUUAAGUGGUUUGUAUGUUUUGUACUCUGUUUCCUUCAUUUUUUUUGUCAGUUCUCAAUGCAUUGUUUUGUUGUUUUGUUCCCUGGUUUUUAGAUAUUUUUAGAUGAAAUUCUGUUUAAAAUAAAACUUUA